rnacentral:lncRNA from 1 species
UCAUAUCCAAUAAUCCAAGCUUCGAAACCAAACUGCAAAUUCGCUCUUGUUCUUUCUUUGAUUUCAAUCACAGUCCAAACUAGGUAAAAUAGAUAUGUUUCCCCUUUCAAAAUUGAUGAUGAGUGCCUCGUGGUGCAAGAAGCAUGGAAACGACGACGACGGUGUUGACGGAUACGACUAUGCGCCGGCAGCAUGCAUGGAAAGUGACGGCAAUGACGAUGAUUCGGAUUAUGAUUAUGCUCCAGCAGCAUCCAUGGAAGGUGAUGACGACGACGACGACGAUGGUGGAUAUGAUUAUGCACCUGCUGCAUAAGAAAUUAGUACUAGUUUCAUUUUUCUUGUUUUAUGCAUUCUAAGUGGCUAGCUUUGAUAUGAAUUGAGGAAUUAAUGUACUAGACGGUAGGAUUGCUCGAUCUGUUUGAAAUUUUUUGUUAAGGGUCAAACUACUUACUAUGUACCUUUAAUUUAAACCAGGCAAUUAGCUGUUGUCUCUGAUGACAAUAAUAUAUUGAUCUUAUCAUCAAAUCAAAUGGAGGAUGCUCGUGAUUAAAUUAACAGGCAAAAUUAUGGUUAGCUUGUUAGUAGGAGAUACUGGUUCUUUCUUAUCAUAACAAAAAGUACCAUAAUAUAUGUGGAGAGGCAAGAAUACUAGGCUUCUUGAC